ACGGAAGGCAGCAGUGGGGAAUAUUGGUCAAUGGGCGGAAGCCUGAACCAGCCAAGUCGCGUGAAGGAAGAAGGUAUUAUGUAUUGUAAACUUCUUUAGCAGCAGAGAAAUAAGGUGGACGUGUCCACUGAUGCUAGUAUGCUGAGAAUAAGCAUCGGCUAACUCCGUGCCAGCAGCCGCGGUAAUACGGAGGAUGCGAGCGUUAUCCGGAUUUAUUGGGUUUAAAGGGUGCGCAGGCGGUCUUUUAAGUCAGUGGUCAAAUCGUGGUGCUCAACGCCAUCCCGCCAUUGAUACUGGGAGACUUGAUUGCGGUUGAGGUAGGCGGAAUUCGUCGUGUAGCGGUGAAGUGCAUAGAUAUGACGAAGAACACCGAUUGCGUAGGCAGCUUACCAAGCCGUAAAUGACGCUCAUGCACGAAAGUGCGGGGAUCGAACAGGAUUAGAUACCCUGGUA
rnacentral:rRNA from 1 species